rnacentral:rRNA from 1 species
AUGCCGACGACACGCCCUCCUUCCACCGCAGCGCGGCUUUCCCUUAUUCACGUAUGCGCGCAGCAACGUGGCGGCGACCUGGACGAUCUUGGCCUCGUCCUUGGCUUCUCGACGCUCGCCAUCGCUUUCUCAAGCUCCGUCUUCAUCUUGCCCUGCAUCCCCGGCGUGCUGCUUGCCGUGGGUGUCUCUUCCUCCUCGAUGGCGCGCGCAAACAGCUCAGCUCUUAGCGUCGCCGGAUGCUCGGAAGCCGUCACCAUCUUGUUCUCGAGGUCGUCGGUGGCGUCCAGCUCGGCCCUCAACCUCCGUGCCUCCUCCUCACCUCGCUCUAGCUCGUUCUGGUACGCCAGCGCCAACAUCAUCCUCCGCUCCGCUGUGUUGUGGACAGCGCGCGCGGACUCGAGCUCCGCCUUGAGCACAUCGAGCUCUCAAAAUUUGUGGCACCAACAUCGCUGCUACAGCAAGAAAGAGAAAAUAAAUUGA